AACGAACGCUGGCGGCGUGGAUAAGACAUGCAAGUCGGACGAGAUUUUUCGUUGUAGCAAUAUGAUGGAAAGUCUAGUGGCGAACGGGUGCUUAACACGUGGGCAACCUGCCAGGAAGUGGGGGAUAGCUCGCCGAAAGGCGAAUUAAUAGCGCAUGUGAUUAGAGAGGACAUCCUUUCGAAAUUAAAGUCGGGGCAACCUGACGCUUCUUGUGGGGCCCGCGGCCUAUCAGCUAGUUGGAGAGGUAAUGGCUCACCAAGGCUUUGACGGGUAGCUGGUCUGAGAGGACGACCAGCCACACUGGGACUGAGACACGGCCCAGACACCUACGGGUGGCAGCAGUCGAGAAUUUUUGACAAUGGGGGAAACCCUGAUCGAGCGACGCCGCGUGGAGGAUGAAGGUCUUCGGAUUGUAAACUCCUGUCAUUGGGGAACAAGGUGCAUACGUUAACUGCGUGUGCAUUGAUAGUACCCGAAGAGGAAGAGACGGCUAACUCUGUGCCAGCAGCCGCAGUAACAC
rnacentral:rRNA from 1 species